CGUAGUUGGAUUUCGGGUGGGUCUCAGCGGUCCGCCUAUGGUGAGUACUGCUGUGGCCUUCCUUACUGUCGGGGACCUGCUUCUGGGCUUCAUUGUCCGGGACAGGGAUUCGGCAUGGUUACUUUGAGUAAAUUAGAGUGUUCAAAGCAGGCUUACGCCGUGAAUACUUUAGCAUGGAAUAACAUGAUAGGACUCUGCCCUAUUCUGUUGGCCUGUAGGAGUGGAGUAAUGAUUAAGAGGAACAGUCGGGGGCAUUCGUAUUUCAUUGUCAGAGGUGAAAUUCUUGGAUUUAUGAAAGACGAACUACUGCGAAAGCAUUUGCCAAGGAUGUUUUCAUUAAUCAAGAACGAAAGUUGGGGGCUCGAAGACGAUUAGAUNNNNCGUAGUCA
rnacentral:rRNA from 1 species